rnacentral:rRNA from 1 species
GUGGGGAAUAUUGGACAAUGGGCGAAAGCCUGAUCCAGCCAUGCCGCGUGUGUGAAGAAGGUCUUCGGAUUGUAAAGCACUUUAAGUUGGGAGGAAGGGCAGUAAGUUAAUACCUUGCUGUUUUGACGUUACCGACAGAAUAAGCACCGGCUAACUUCGUGCCAGCAGCCGCGGUAAUACGAAGGGUGCAAGCGUUAAUCGGAAUUACUGGGCGUAAAGCGCGCGUAGGUGGUUCAGCAAGUUGGAGGUGAAAUCCCCGGGCUCAACCUGGGAACUGCCUCCAAAACUGCAUGACUAGAGUACGGUAGAGGGUAGUGGAAUUUCCUGUGUAGCGGUGAAAUGCGUAGAUAUAGGAAGGAACACCAGUGGCGAAGGCGACUACCUGGACUGAUACUGACACUGAGGUGCGAAAGCGUGGGGAGCAAACAGGAUUAGAUACCCCUGUAGUCC